rnacentral:rRNA from 1 species
AGCGAACGCUGGCGGCAGGCCUAACACAUGCAAGUCGAACGAAGUCUUCGGACUUAGUGGCGGACGGGUGAGUAACACGUGGGAACGUGCCCUUUGGUACGGAAUAACUCAGGGAAACUUGAGCUAAUACCGUAUGUGCCCUUCGGGGGAAAGAUUUAUCGCCAUUGGAGCGGCCCGCGUCUGAUUAGCUAGUUGGUGAGGUAAAGGCUCACCAAGGCGACGAUCAGUAGCUGGUCUGAGAGGAUGAUCAGCCACAUUGGGACUGAGACACGGCCCAAACUCCUACGGGAGGCAGCAGUGGGGAAUCUUGCGCAAUGGGCGAAAGCCUGACGCAGCCAUGCCGCGCGAAUGAUGAAGGUCCUAGGAUUGUAAAAUUCUUUCACCGGGGACGAUAAUGACGGUACCCGGACAAGAAGCCCCGGCUAACUUCGUGCCAGCCGCCGCUGUAAUAC